CCCUUAGAUGUUCUGGGCCGCACGCGCGCUACACUGACGAAUGCAACGAGCUUAUAACCUUGGCCGAAAGGUCUGGGUAAUCUCCAAAUUUCGUCGUGAUGGGGAUAGAUUAUUGCAAUUAUUAAUCUUCAACGAGGAAUGCCUAGUAAGCGCAAGUCAUCAGCUUGCGUUGAUUACGUCCCUGCCCUUUGUACACACCGCCCGUCGCUCCUACCGAUUGAAUGGUCCGGUGAAGCGUUCGGACCGUGGCCUUUGGACGGUUCGCCGUCUGUUGGCUGCGGGAAGUUCCUUAAACCUUAUCAUUUAGAGGAAGGAGAAGUCGUAACA
rnacentral:rRNA from 1 species